ACAUGCAAGUCGANCGGUAGCACAGGGGAGCUUGCUCCUUGGGUGACGAGCGGCGGACGGGUGAGUAAUGUCUGGGAAACUGCCUGAUGGAGGGGGAUAACUACUGGAAACGGUAGCUAAUACCGCAUAACGUCGCAAGACCAAAGAGGGGGACCUUCGGGCCUCUUGCCAUCAGAUGUGCCCAGAUGGGAUUAGCUAGUAGGUGGGGUAAUGGCUCACCUAGGCGACGAUCCCUAGCUGGUCUGAGAGGAUGACCAGCCACACUGGAACUGAGACACGGUCCAGACUCCUACGGGAGGCAGCAGUGGGGAAUAUUGCACAAUGGGCGCAAGCCUGAUGCAGCCAUGCCGCGUGUGUGAAGAAGGCCUUCGGGUUGUAAAGCACUUUCAGCGAGGAGGAAGGUGAUGAACUUAAUA
rnacentral:rRNA from 1 species